rnacentral:pre_miRNA from 14 species
GGGUACAAUAUUGGAAUCCUCUAGAGAGGCAGGACUUAGCUGGCUCUGUGAACAGGUCUUGUGUGUCAAUGUUCACAGUGGCUAAGUUCCACCCCACUGGGAAACAUCAUUCUGUAUGUGCA